CUAGCCCAAUACUCCACCAAUCAACUAGCACGAUCACAUAAACCCAAACAUUUAGUUAACUCAUAUUAAGUAUAGGAGAUAGAAAUUUAACUUGGCGCUAUAGAGACAGUACCGCAAGGGAAAGAUGAAAGAAAACCCUCAAAGCACCACACAGCAAAGAUUACCCCUUGUACCUUUUGCAUAAUGGAUUAGCUAGACAUAGUCUAACAAAGAGAACUUAAGCUAGACCCCCCGAAACCAGACGAGCUACCUACGAACAAUCUAUACAGGAUGAACUCGUCUAUGUUGCAAAAUAGUGAGAAGAUUUGUAGGUAGAGGUGAAAAGCCUAACGAGCCUGGUGAUAGCUGGUUGCCCAGAAAAAGAAUUUUAGUUCAACUUUAAGCCUACCUGAAAAAACACUAGAAUUCAAAUGUAAGCUUAAAAUAUAGUCUAAAAAGGUACAGCUUUUUAGAACUAGGAUACAGCCUUAAUUAGAGAGUAAGCAUUAACAUUGA
rnacentral:rRNA from 1 species